GACGAACGCUGGCGGCGUGCCUAACACAUGCAAGUCGAACGGAGUGGCGAACGGGUGAGUAACACGUGGGUGAUCUGCCUUGCACUACGGGAUAAGCUUGGGAAACUCGGUCUAACACCGGAUAGUGCAAGAUUAGCUCGCGGCCUAUCUGCUUGUUGGUGGGGUAAUGGCCUACCAAGGCGUCGACGGGUAGCCGGCCUGAGAGGGUGUACGGCCACAUUGGGACUGAGUGACGGCCCAGGCUGCUACGGGAGGCAGCGGUGGGAAGUAUUGCACAGUAGGCGGAAGCCUGGUGCAGAGACGCCGCGUGGGGAAUGAAGGCCUUCGGGUUAUAAACUCCUUUCGGCGGGGACGCGGUACCUGUAUAAGAAGCACCGGCUAACUACGUGCCAGCAGCCGCGGUAAUAC
rnacentral:rRNA from 1 species